UGGGGAAUAUUGCACAAUGGGCGCAAGCCUGAUGCAGCCAUGCCGCGUGUAUGAAGAAGGCCUUCGGGUUGUAAAGUACUUUCAGCGGGGAGGAAGGUGUUGAGGUUAAUAACCUCAGCAAUUGACGUUACCCGCAGAAGAAGCACCGGCUAACUCCGUGCCAGCAGCCGCGGUAAUACGGAGGGUGCAAGCGUUAAUGGGAAUUACUGGGCGUAAAGCGCACGCAGGCGGUCUGUCAAGUCGGAUGUGAAAUCCCCGGGCUCAACCUGGGAACUGCAUUCGAAACUGGCAGGCUAGAGUCUUGUAGAGGGGGGUAGAAUUCCAGGUGUAGCGGUGAAAUGCGUAGAGAUCUGGAGGAAUACCGGUGGCGAAGGCGGCCCCCUGGACAAAGACUGACGCUCAGGUGCGAAAGCGUGGGGAGCAAACA
rnacentral:rRNA from 1 species